rnacentral:rRNA from 1 species
UACAGAGGGUGCAAGCGUUGUUCGGAAUUAUUGGGCGUAAAGGGCGCGUAGGCGGCCUGUGCAAGUCAGUUGUGAAAUCUCCGGGCUUAACUCGGAACGGUCAACUGAUACUGCUCGGCUAGAGUGCGGAAGGGGCAACUGGAAUUCUUGGUGUAGCGGUGAAAUGCGUAGAUAUCAAGAGGAACACCUGCGGCGAAGGCGGGUUGCUGGGCCGACACUGACGCUGAUGCGCGAAAGCGUGGGGAGCAAACGGG